UUGACCUCAAAUCAGGUAGGACUACCCGCUGAACUUAAGCAUAUCAAUAAGCGGAGGAAAAGAAACUAACAAGGAUUCCCCUAGUAACUGCGAGUGAAGCGGGAAAAGCUCAAAUUUGAAAUCUGGCGGUUCUUUGACCCGUCCGAGUUGUAAUCUAGAGAAGUGCUACCUGUGCUGGACCGUGUACAAGUCUCCUGGAAUGGAGCAUCACAGAGGGUGAGAAUCCCGUCUUUGACAUGGACUGCCUGUGCGUUAUGGUGCGCUCUCGAAGAGUCGAGUUGUUUGGGAAUGCAGCUCAAAAUGGGUGGUAAAUGCCAUCUAAAGCUAAAUAUUGGCGAGAGACCGAUAGCGAACAAGUACCGUGAGGGAAAGAUGAAAAGAACUUUGGAAAGAGAGUUAAACAGUACGUGAAAUUGCUGAAAGGGAAACGCUUGAAGUCAGUCGCGUUGGCUAGAAAUCAGCCUUGCUUUUGCUUGGUGUACUUUCUGGUUCGAUGGGUCAGCAUCAAUUUUGACCAUUGGAUAAAGUCGGUGGGAAUGUGGCAUCUUAGGAUGUGUUAUAGCCCGUUGUCGCAUACAGUGGUUGGGAUUGAGGAACUCAGCACGCCGCAAGGCCGGGUCUUUUGACCACGUUCGUGCUUAGGAUGCUGGCAUAAUGGCUUUAAUCGAC
rnacentral:rRNA from 1 species